rnacentral:sRNA from 1 species
UUUUUUCUUCUUCUUCUUCCAU